GUCCCAGCUGUAAACGAUGCAAACUCGGUGAUGCAUUGGCUUAUGGCCAAUGCAGUGCCGCAGGGAAGCCGUUAAGUUUGCCGCCUGGGAAGUACGGUCGCAAGACUGAAACUUAAAGGAAUUGGCGGGGAGCACCACAAGGGUGAAGCCUGCGGUUCAAUUGGAGUCAACGCCAGGAAUCUUACCUGGGGAGACAGCAGAAUGAAGGUCAAGCUGAAGACUUUACCAGACAAGCUGAGAGAGGUGCAUGGCCGUCGU
rnacentral:rRNA from 1 species